CUUCAACACACUUUUGAUAUUAAUGAAUUUUUAAUGGUACAGAAACUAAGGCUCAGGUAUGUAAAGAGUUAAACUGUACACACAUGUAUAUAUGGUAUACUUAAUAUGUAUUUGGUUUGCACAGCACUGUUAAUACAUGUAUAUGAAAAUGAUGAAAAUGAAUUUGAUAUAUAACACAGUCCCUUGUAGCUGCAAAGUAACUUAAUGACAGUAAUUAAACUAAUAGGGGGCCAGUCCCUAUCGGGGAUUAACCUAAAAAUCUUGACAGCUUUACUAGGUCAAAGGUUAGUUCCACUAGGGAGAGUAUGGCACGCUUCAAGUGUCAAAUUAUUAGUGCUACUGGUAAGCAACUUGACUGAACGACUCCAAUGGGUUUAGUGGGUAAAUGUGUCAGUGUGAUUGAAUGACAGGUGCAUGUUUACUAGUAAGUAAAUGUGUCAGUGUGAUUGAAUGACAGGUGCAUGUUUACUAGUAAGUAAAUGUGUCAGUGUGAUUGAAUGACAGGUGCAUGUUUACUAGUAAGUAAAUGUGUCAGUGUGAUUGAAUGACAGGUGCAUGUUUACUAGUAAGUAAAUUAGCCUAAUUAGAGUGAAGCAUAGUAUAUUAACAUAUCAUGGUCUUUAGAAAAACAUUGGCCUAGAGUAGAAAUAUUUAUUAUGGUGAUAGAUUAAUGCAAUGACAUAUUGAUAUAAAUGCUGAAUCUCGAAUUAAUUUAAAAUGGGUCAUUUAUAUUGGUCAGUCAAAACCUACAUUUAAUGUACAUUGCUCUGUAAAACCAAAUAUUAAGAUCUGUGCUAGUAGCAUCAGGGAUUUAACAGUGGACAUGUUUGAAUAGGGAAUAUUUUAAUCCCUGUAAGUAAUUUAAUUUUGUAGUUUCCAACAUUUUAAAGACAGGUACUGCUAAGAGCAGAUAAAUUAUGCUAAAAGCAAACAACAAAAUUAAAUAUAUUGGACAUAUUGAACUUUAUUUUCAAAUCCUAAAAAACGAUUAUCAUUAAAAUGCAUCAAUAACAGAACAUUUAACAUUAAAGAUUAUUUGAACAUA